rnacentral:misc_RNA from 1 species
GAUGAAGAACGCAGCGAAAUGCGAUAAGUAAUGUGAAUUGCAGAAUUCAGUGAAUCAUCGAAUCUUUGAACGCACAUUGCGCCCGCCAGUAUUCUGGCGGGCAUGUCUGUCUGAGCGUCAUUUCAACCCUCAUGCCCCUAGGGCGUGGUGUUGGGGAUCGGCCAAAGCCCGCGAGGGACGGCCGGCCCCUAAAUCUAGUGGCGGACCCGUCGUGGCCUCCUCUGCGAAGUAGUGAUAUUCCGCAUCGGAGAGCGACGAGCCCCUGCCGUUAAACCCCCAACUUUCCAAGGUUGACCUCAGAUCAGGUAGGAAUACCCGCUGAACUUAAGCAUAUCAAAAGCGGAGGA